UAUGUAGGUCCCGAGCGUUGUCCGGAUUUAUUGGGCGUAAAGCGAGCGCAGGUGGUUUAUUAAGUCUGGUGUAAAAGGCAGUGGCUCAACCAUUGUAUGCAUUGGAAACUGGUAGACUUGAGUGCAGGAGAGGAGAGUGGAAUUCCAUGUGUAGCGGUGAAAUGCGUAGAUAUAUGGAGGAACACCGGUGGCGAAAGCGGCUCUCUGGCCUGUAACUGACACUGAGGCUCGAAAGCGUGGGGAGCGAACAGG
rnacentral:rRNA from 1 species